rnacentral:rRNA from 1 species
UACGUAGGUGGCAAGCGUUGUCCGGAUUUACUGGGCGUAAAGCGUGCGCAGGCGGUUUUGUAAGCCAGAUGUGAAAUCCCCGGGCUUAACCUGGGAAUGGCAUUUGGGACUGCAAGGCUGGAGUGCGGCAGAGGAGACUGGAAUUCCUGGUGUAGCAGUGAAAUGCGUAGAUAUCAGGAGGAACACCGAUGGCGAAGGCAGGUCUCUGGGCUGACACUGACGCUCAUGCACGAAAGCGUGGGGAGCAAACAGG